AGCUCCACCGGAUCCACCCCGCGGGUGACGACGAGGUAGUCGCGCAGGGCCACGCCGUGCCGCCCCUC
rnacentral:sRNA from 1 species